rnacentral:lncRNA from 1 species
UCGGAUUCUGCUGGGUUCGCCCUUUGGUUCAGAUUCUGCUGCGCGGUAGCGGAAUCCGUCGAUAAAAGCUGAACCAAACAGGGCCUUUAUCCCUACACGAAUUUCUACACUGCAGGUAAAAUACCUACCUAUCUACAUUUCAAAAGCAAAAAAGGGGUCCAUUUACUUUAUUUUGCUGGCCUUCAUUUGAGUUACUUUUGGUACUUGAUUGCUGAAAUAUUGUUCAUGUGAUUAAGGAUCAACAAGAUACAUAUAUAAAGAAUACAUUGAGUUAUUUGUUUCUUUGUAGGCCCGGCGAUCUCACAGUGAAGUAAUUUCUUAUUAUUACUUGGCCCAUUAAAGUUAGAACAGGAAUAUAGUUAUUGCUUUGUCGCCUGGCCAUUGCUAAAUGCUAACUUAUGGUUCUGUCCUUGUAUUGUUUUUUCAUCUGGAAACUGGCAGUAAUAUCGGUAGUGUGUGUGCUUAAGGAUUGAUUGCAGAUAUUUACGAACAGUUCUUCACUAACACAUCUUCUCUGAACAUGAAAAUUUCCAUAUCAUGUCCUUCGUUACUUGGUAAUGAUUAUUAUCCUUAUUCCUUGCAUUUGGGGAUAUAUGUGGCUUCAUUUACACAUUUCUUUCCUUGUCAGAAAAAAUAGCCUUUUGCCGUCAAGUUACAUUAUUACAUCUUAGUAUAUUACACGGAAAACAUAACUGUUUGCAGAUGUGACAUAUAUACUAUUGAUUCAGCUUUUCCAUUGGUUUAUUGGAUUCUUUUGCUUUAGGUAGGAGAAUUGCUGGUGGAGAUGGUGGAGCUGAAAAUGCAAACACAUGAGAUCUGCUAAUGUGCCUAAUGUGCUAUGUUGGUUGAACAGGUGGUGUAAAUUUAUCUUUUCUCCAUAAAACUUAGAUGCCGGAGUUUCUUGCUUUCUACUCCAUGAGCCUCUCAUGUGCACAUUAUACAGAAAAUAUAUUGAAUGGCUUGAUAAUCUAGAAAGUUCAGUAUUUGCCUCUGAUGGAGGCAUUGAGUCAACACUAGUGGUUGCCUCGAGAACAUGUCAACAGUAGAAGUUGAUGGCCCGUAGCGUAAACUACCAACUAAAUGUUAUACUAUUGCUAGGAUGAUAGCCAGUUUUGGGAUGAUUCAUGUUUGCAUAUUGUUGUAUGACCUCCAUAGUGUGGGUUGAUGCUUAUUAUUGCUGUAAUCAUGCAAAAUUAUGAGAUAUACCCUUUUUUCCACUCUACAUGUAUGAGAUAUAACUUGACCUGCUUCUUCGUGGGUGAGUUGUAUAAAUUGGUUUUGACAGAUGGCAUUUGUUGUUCUGCAGGUAUUUGGAGUUUUCUUCGGUUUGUUGAGGCGCAGAAAUGCGGAGAUGGCUCUUUUGCUGUAUGCCCUUCCGCUUUUGUGUGUUGUGGCUGCUAUUGUGGCCGGCACUGACGUUGACAAUAUAUGGAGCAGUAUGUAGGUUCUUCCGCUUUGUAUGAUGCGUCCUGUGAAGUGGACUUGUAGGAUUUAGUAUGUAAUUCGCUAACUUCUCUGAAUUACAACUAUCUACUAAUAUUUUCAGGGACUAUUAAUCCGGUUGCAUGCCUAGAUAGUGUUUGUGGAGUUGCUUCUGUUAGUGCCUGGAUCUGUCAGUGUAUUAACACCUUGUGGUUCAUUUGCUUUAUGUCUCAAUAACGCGGGCCUUUAUAUUUUUG